AUGCGGCUGCAAGAGGGAGAGCUCGAUGAAGUCUACGUGGGAGAAGAGGAGAUCGGAAAACUUGCAAAGGAGGCCCGUUGGCUAGCUGUCGCAAGGGUAAACACCUCCAAAACUUUUAGUAGCACGGCAUUGAAGGAAACCCUAAAGUCCAUAUGGAACCUAGCUCAUGUUCCUGACAUUAGGGAAGCCGAUGACAAUGUUUUUGUCAUACAAGUCUUUUGCCUGGGGGAUUGGAAGAGAGUAAUGUUCCAAGGUCCAUGGAUCUUCCGUGGACUGAUGGUACUCAUUGAAGAAUUUGAUGGAAAGUGUGCUCCAGAAUCUGUCAAGCUCGAGAGGAUAUCAGUGUGGGCGCAGAUCCACAAGAUCCCAGAUUUGUACCGGAAGGAACCUAUUGUAGAUCAGCUGGCAAGGAGAAUUGGCAUUGUUAGAAGUGUAGAGCUAAAUCCAACACGUUAUUUCGAGGGAAAU
rnacentral:rRNA from 1 species